GCCCGAAUAGCUCAGCUGGUAGAGCACCUGUCUUGUAAACAGGGGGUCAGGGGUUCGAGUCCCCUUUCGGGCU
rnacentral:tRNA from 3 species